rnacentral:rRNA from 1 species
UACGAAGGGGGCUAGCGUUGCUCGGAAUCACUGGGCGUAAAGGGUGCGUAGGCGGGGCUUUAAGUCAGGGGUGAAAUCCUGGAGCUCAACUCCAGAACUGCCUUUGAUACUGAGGAGCUUGAGUUCGGGAGAGGUGAGUGGAACUGCGAGUGUAGAGGUGAAAUUCGUAGAUAUUCGCAAGAACACCAGUGGCGAAGGCGGCUCACUGGCCCGAUACUGACGCUGAGGCACGAAAGCGUGGGGAGCAAACAGG